AACUAACGCUGGCGGCGUGCCUAACACAUGCAAGUCGUACGAGAAAGUCGGCUUCGGCUGAUGAGUAAAGUGGCGCACGGGUGAGUAACGCGUGGAUAAUCUGCCCUUUAGUUGGGAAUAACGUACCGAAAGGUGCGCUAAUACCGAAUAAUGCUGAGUGACAUCAGUUAUUUAGCCAAAGAAGGCCUCUGCUUGCAAGCUUUCGCUGAAGGAUGAGUCCGCGUACCAUUAGCUAGUUGGUAGGGUAAUGGCCUACCAAGGCGACGAUGGUUAGCUGGUCUGAGAGGAUGAUCAGCCACACUGGAACUGAGACACGGUCCAGACUCCUACGGGAGGCAGCAGUGAGGAAUAUUGCGCAAUGGGGGCAACCCUGACGCAGCAACGCCGCGUGAGUGAGGAAGGUUUUCGGACUGUAAAGCUCUGUCGAGCGGGAAGAAAUGCCUGAUGGCUAAUAUCCAUCAUGCUUGACGGUACCGCG
rnacentral:rRNA from 1 species